UCCACACAAGGCGUACCACUGUUCUCCAUGCCCUUCCUGAUUAUCUACUAGAGGAAGUCUCUGGAUUUUUCAGAACAUGUGUGGAUGAUAUGGAUGAGCCAGACCUGUGGGAUGCAUCAGUGGUCCUCCUUACAACAGUCAGUGAUGAUGCCACAAGCCCAGUUCACUACCACCCAGUGAGAGUCUCUGUCGUCCUAGAGGGUGAUGUGGUUGUCAAUCUCCCCAGGCUUGCUGAUGCCUUCCUGGAAGAUGAAGGGGGUGAUGUCCUGCAGGACCUAGCAAAACAUGCAAGGAAAAUCGUUGUGUACUAACCUGGGAUAUU